AUUGAACGCUGGCGGCAGGCUUAACACAUGCAAGUCGAGCGGGGUGAUGGUGCUUGCACUAUCACUUAGCGGCGGACGGGUGAGUAAUGCUUAGGAAUCUGCCUAGUAGGGGGGGACCACAUCUCGAAAGGGAUGCUAAUACCGAAUACGCCCUACGGGAGAAAGCAGGGGAUCGCUUGUGAUCUUACGCUAAUAGAUGAGCCUGAGGCGGAUUAGCUAGGUGGUGGGGUAAAGGCCUACCAAGGCGACGAUCUGUAGCGGGUCUGAGAGGAUGAGCCGCGACACUGGGGCUGGGACACGGCCCAGCAUCCUGCGGGAGGCAGCAGUGGGGAAUAUUGGCCAAUGGGGGGAACCCUGAUCCAGCCAUGCCGCGUGUGUGAAGAAGGCCUUAUGGUUGUAAAGCACUUUAAGCGAGGAGGAGGCUCUUUUGGUUAAUACCCAAGAUGAGUGGACGUUACUCGCAGAAUAAGCACCGGCUAACUCUGUGCCAGCAGCCGCAGUAA
rnacentral:rRNA from 1 species